UUUUUGUGUGCUGACUGCUUUAUCAGUUUGAAGUCUGUUAUUUUAAGGAUCAAGCCAUGUCUGCACUGUAUUAAUACAGCUGUAGCACAUCUCUCAUGCUUCCCUCAAAUGUUGAAUGUUAAUGAGGUAGUUCUGUUUAUCUUCACUGCACCAUCCUUCUUUGUCCCCUCCUCCUUAGGCUCAAACAUGGACAAGAAAAAUGUCAGUCUCCAGAAAGCAGUCCACAGAGAUAGCAAACCCAACUCUUCAGGCAGACACAGAGAAAGGAAGAACUACUCUGCAGAUGAGCUGGCCUUCCUCACAGAUGGGGUGAGACGUUUUGGUCACUCCUGGAAUUCCAUACUUUGGGCUUAUCCAUUCCAGCAAGGACGCACUAAUGUAGACUUGGCAAAAAAAUACAAAAAACUAAAACUGGGCUUACCUCAGACACCAGACCUUACAACACUGGAUUCUGCUGACCCAAAAGUUUGUUAAACUGGCAUUCUGCACAAUGUUUUACACAUUAACACCCAAGUCAGCCAUCAGACCAUUGUAGAAGUCUGUCACUCUAAGUUUAAAUCUUGAACAUGUAUGCAAGUUUCUUUAUUACUUGUUUUGUUGAACUUUGUUUGAAUUAAAGUUCUUUCCAAAUUUCUUUUUAUGUUUGGGGUGGGUGUUGGGCAGUGGUCAAUAUCUCAUUGCUUCAGUCCUUACUCUUUCUUCUAAACUUUACUGGCCAUUGUGAGAAUCUCACCUAAUAGUCAUAUUCUUUACUAGAUAUAGAGGAAUGAGCGAUUUAUAUGGGACAGAGGCUUCUAAGGCUAUGUCCUAGAGUUUGUACCCCAAAACUGAAUUUCCCUUGUGACUUCUGAAAACCUUUUUUCUCUGGAAGGAAUGUGGCCCUUCCCCCUACAUGUAUAUGAGAAUGUGUGUGUUGAGUUAAAAGAAAUCCAAGUACAGUAGCAGGAAACCUCAUUACUGCAUAUUCUGAAGUUCUGCAGAGCUUUCUUUGUGUACUGGAACAAUUCACAUACUUUCCUAUAUGUUUAAUUUUUGACAUUGUUUCACUUGAUUCCUAAAAUCAACCCCGCUGUAUUGUCUGGCUAAUUUAAAACUUUGUACAGGCUGAUGAUUUGCACUACUUGGAUAAAUAACCUAUUCCAGCUACACCAGCAAAUUGCCAGACAAAAAUAGAUAAGCCCUUUGUAAUUGUAAAGAGUCAACCAGGUUAGAGAUUAGACAUUAAGGUCUGUAACAGUUUAAUUUUAUUUUCUCACUUGCAAUCAUUGUUUUAACAUGUUCUUAUUGCAUUUCUGUGAUGGUACUUUAUUCAUACAGAGUAAAUAAAAAGGUUAUUUUACUCAUUUAACAUUUUAAACCUGUUUUUUUUUUCCUUACAUGACUACAAGAAAAAUAAUGCUGGGUAGUGGCUUGUGUUUAUGCUGGAACUGGUGUUUAGAUGUAGAGUUCAACCAUUUCAUGCCUACAAGCUCACAAUUUGUCAGUGGUUAUACAGGAUAUUUUAAAACUUCAAUAAAAAGGAUUGAUUUAGGCAUGCUUCGCCAUUAUCUUGGCUGUUGUCAUGGUCUGACUCCUUGCACCUAUUGUCCCUUUAGCAGUUGAUUCUUUUAGCAUGUCCAUGGGUUUAUAUAAGGUCAUUGAUCGUGUUGACAGCUGUGCUCACCCCCUGUCCCAUGUCCCCCAGAUCAACCAAAGGUCAAAGUUUAGAGUUGAGGGAUCAACACUAACUUCAUAGUUUCAGAGGUUUCUGCUGGUGGUUCUGCAUCCUGGUUCAUGCAUGCCAACAAUUCCUUGCGCUCAGGGCGUGCACGAAUAUCAAAUUGACUGGGAAUUUCCUCCCUCUCCACCGCUAAAAGGUGCAACAUCAUCAGCUAUUGCUGCAGCAACAGGGCUCAGUGGAGGAGUGCUUCUGAGAUGGUUUGUGCGACGGCAGGUCAGAUGGUAAGUAGGCAAGGCCUUCAGGAGCUUUAGGAGUGGAGAAAAUCAUUUUGGGUUUAGUCUCCUCUGAAAGAUCUACCAGGGUCUCAGGCUUGGGCUCUGGAUCUGGGACCUCAUCCUUCAAGCCAACAGCUGCCAUCAUGGCCUCCACAGCUCCUAUGCUCUUGUUUAGAAUUCUUCAACUGGCCAGCAAUCUGUUGGCUAAUGGCACUCACAGUUUCCUCUGCAGUUUGUGUGAUAACAUCUAGAGCCCCAGGGAUAGGUUUGCUGUCAGCUGCUAUUGGUGGGACACUUCUUGGGCUUGGCUUCAAGUGUGGCCUCAGCUCCACUGCAGAUUCUGCUCACUGCUCUGAGGAACAGAUAAAGCUUCAGGUGUGGCAGGCUGAUCCUGGGAUGGAGCCUCCACCACAGCUCCCUCUAUUGCAGCCCCCUCGCUCUUCCUCCGACUCAACUUUGCUCCCAUUCUUCUCACUAUGAAACAUGCAGGACAUCAAUCAAGCCACAGACUAUUUAGAUAACUUCAUCUUACAUUUAGAGGAGUUGUUUCUUAUCAUGCAAUAGUGCAAAAUAGACCCAUAGCCCAGUGUUGGGAACAUGUACAGUAAUAUGCUAACUCAGUACAUGGUCUGCGAACACAGUGAAACUUUUGUAACCAGGAAUAAAGCACAUAGAUGUACUCUGAUAAUGGCAGAAUAGUAACCUAAAACCAGACAUCAGACUGUGGGACACGCAUUGCCAAAGUGGUCGACCACAACAU
ensembl:lncRNA